rnacentral:lncRNA from 1 species
AUCAUUGCAAUCCCUGCAAAACCAGAUCCAGGACUGGAGAGAGAAAGUAAGGUAUGGGCUGGGGCAUCAACACACAUUUGUGACACUUAUUUGUGCCUCUUUAAUGGCAAGGCCUAGAAGCACAUGCCUGGGGUCAGCUUGCCAUCGUGUGGCCAAACCUAAGGACUGCACAUCUUCCAUCUUGCUUUCCCAGGGCUCCAUGUAGUUGUGGAGACAGGAUUUGGACCCAGGUCUCUCCUCCCACCGAAGUCCAGGGUCUACAGGCCCAAGUUCAAGUCCCGGUUCCUGCACUCCCAGCCAUAUGACCAAAGAGGAUUCAGAUUCUGUCUCCAACUCAUGGGGACAGCAACACACUCGUCUCUCACAGUGAAGACCCAGUAAGAUGUGGCAGCUGUCAGCCGGGCACAGUGGCUCACGCCUGUGAUCCCAGCACUUUGGGAGGCCGAGGCAGGCAAAUCACGAGAUCAGGAGAUCGAGACCAUCCUGGCUAACACAGUGAAACCCCGUCUCUACUAAAAACUACAAAAAAUUAGCCAGGCGUGGUGGUGGGAGCCCGUAGUCCCAGCUACUUGGGAGGCUGAGGCAGGAGAAUUUCUUGAACCCUGGAGCCAGAGGUUGCAGUGAGCCGAGAUCGCGCCACUGCACUCCAGCCUGGGCGACAGAGGGAGACUCUGUCUCAAAAAAAAAGAAAAGAAAAGAAAAGAAAAGAAAAGAAGAGAAGAGAAGAGAAGAGAAGAGAAGAGAAGAGAAGAGAAGAGAAGAAAAGAAAAGAAAAGAAAAGAAAAGGCGGCUGUCACGGCAUGUGGUAACUCCUGUUUGGUUGAUCAGGAGCCCCACCAGGAUCCGCAAAAGGUGUGCUUCCUUCAUGACCGUGCAGUGGUGCCAGCAACAGUGGGGAGCGCGUGGUGUGUCCUCACAGAGGUUUGUGACCCACGUGGAAAUGCCUGGCAGGCUCCCAGGCUUCCCCCACUGGACUCUACCUCCAGAUGCCCAGGACUUGGGACACCAUGCAAAGACCUAG